rnacentral:rRNA from 1 species
GAUGAACGCUGGCGGCGUGCCUAAUACAUGCAAGUCGAGCGAACAGACGAGGAGCUUGCUCCUCUGACGUUAGCGGCGGACGGGUGAGUAACACGUGGAUAACCUACCUAUAAGACUGGGAUAACUUCGGGAAACCGGAGCUAAUACCGGAUAAUAUAUUGAACCGCAUGGUUCAAUAGUGAAAGACGGUUUUGCUGUCACUUAUAGAUGGAUCCGCGCCGCAUUAGCUAGUUGGUAAGGUAACGGCUUACCAAGGCAACGAUGCGUAGCCAACCUGAGAGGGUGAUCGGCCACACUGGAACUGAGACACGGUCCAGACUCCUACGGGAGGCAGCAGUAGGGAAUCUUCGGCAUGGAGCGAAAGCCUGACGGGGCAACGCCGCGUGAGUGAGGAAGGUCUUCGGAUCGUAAAACUCGGUUAUUAGGGAAGAACAAAGGUGUAAGUAACUAUGCACGUCUUGACGGUACCUAAUCAGAAAGCCACGGCUAACUACGUG